rnacentral:lncRNA from 1 species
CAGCCUGGCAGCCCUCCCUGGUACCAUACCCCAGCCGAUGAGUAUGUACCCCCAGAAGUACUUCCGCUCAGAGAAGAAGGAGACGGCCAGCAGGGUGUGCAGGUAGAGGCCCUCCACCAGCAGCCAGAAGAAGUUGGCCAUGAUACAGUACUGGAAUAAGACCAUGGCUGCCUUACAGCUCACCUGCAGGGGGAGGAACAGAAGGGGCUCACUGGGGUCCCCUGCCUGCCCACAUCUCCGUUUGGGGCAACAAACACAGGUGCAGCACGGCCAGCUUAAUCUCUUUGUUGUUCUUGCGUUGUCCCUUUCGAAAUGUACCCGGUGGUUUUCCCGUUAUCCCUGAUUUUAGAUCAUCGGAUAUUUGGGGUAAGUUUGCAGAUUUAACGAUCCAUCCAUCAAUUUAUCAUCUAUUCAUUUUCCUUCUAUAUGUCUAUCUACCCACCUACCCAUCCAACCAUCCAUCUGCCCACCUAUCCGUUUAUCUACCCACUAGGUGUUCUACCAGCUCACCCAUCUGUCUGUCCACCCACUGAUCAUUUAUUCAUCUUCCCGUCUAUCAGCCCACCCACGCACUCACCUACCUAUCUCUCCAUUCUUCUACCUAUCCACCUACUAGCCAUCCUCUACCAACCCACACACCUAACCAGCUAUCCAUCCAUUCAUCCAACCUCCUAUCUACUCAUCCACCCCUCUACCUGUCAUCUACCCAAUUUUUCCUACUUUACCCGUCUAUCCUUCCACCUGUACAGCCAUCCACGCAUCUAUUUACUCAGCAUCCGUCUACCUGCCCGUUCACUUAACCCCGCCCCCACCUACUCAUUCACCUUAUUUCAAUUAGGAUAGAAGGUAGCUAGAAGAGGUAUGAGGAGAAUUCUUGCUUGGGUUUGCAAGGGUUCCCUGAAUAUGUGGGGCUGUAGGCUAUGGGCUGUGGAGUGGGGCCCUGAUGGAAGUGUUGAGGAGAAGAGGCAAGAGGAGGCAGAGGUAGGGCAACUUGGGGCUCUGGGUGGCCCACCUGGCACAACUGGAGGACCUUCUCUGUCCUCUGUUCUCUCCCAGAAAGUUUUCCAUUUCAGAUCAAGCCCCAAUACCUGUGAGCCAGAACUUAAAGCCCUCCCCCCUCCGGGAAGCUCUCUAGAUUCCACUCCCUCCUUUCUGUGCCCUUGGCUUUGAGACAUCCUCAGUAGUCUGCUCUCCUCUUCCUGUGGCUGCAAGCUCCUUCAAGGUCCCACUUCAGUCCUUCCAGCUACAGGCGGGCCUGUGUCCCCCAUCCUCCCCCACUUGCCUUGCAACUAGAAUAGCUCAUCUCUUUAAUAGGACAGUUAUCUGUGCUUCUUGCCUUAGAAAAGCUUCGGAGAGCUGCUAAUGAAUCAGAAAGCCAGUCUCCACAAUUAUGCUUAACAAGUGUGCUGGAGGCUUCCUGGCUUCUCCGGGUCCAUGGCUCAUGGGCCCCAGCUCCUGGGUGGGAUCCUCUGAGGAGCUCUGGGAUUGUCCAGGGUGGCCGCCCUGCAUUUCCCUUCCUUCUUGUCUACAUGCCUAAGACUCCACCAUCAUAGGUCCAUUCUCUGAGGAGAAGGUAUUGCUGACGCCCAAAAUAAUGCACUGCCCCUGGGGUAGGUCCUCAUGAAGCAGAGUCACUGGCCACAGGAAUGGGUAGGAGCCAGGGCUGGUCUUGGGCUCUCUGUCUUAGCUCCGGGGCGCUCAGGGAGGGGGUCCUGAGCUCACAGUCAUUUGGAGAUGGACCCCUUAGUGACGGGCAAUUAAUUCCUUAGACACUGUCUUAACUUCCCUUCCUGAGGAAGGCCCAGAACGGACUGAUGGCAGGGGAAGAAGGGAAGAGAAGGGCUGUGUGUGUAUCUGGACCGAAUCCAGGUGGUGGUAGGGGUGGGGGAGUAGGAUGGAAGCUUGGAAGUCCUUGCAAGAUGGGGAAACUGAGGCAGGGAGUUCCCGAAGAUCCCUCUGGAAGUUAGCAACAGAGGAGGGACGGGGGACUGUGGACUCUGGCUAUGAAGUGUCGCAUUUCCCACCAAGGAGAGGCAUCUGUCACGGGCAGGGGCAGGUCUGUGAGCUCCCAGGUGGCUGAGCACCACUCCCUGUGGCUGGGAGGGGGGUGGGAUUCAAGGAGCCGCAGACGGGGUUGGGUAGGGGUUUGGCCAUUCUCGGGGAGGGAGAGGAGGAAGGAGAAGAGAGGAAGGGGGGAGAAGCAGCAGGUGGAGAGGCACUGAGAUUGGAGAAGGUAAAGGCGAAGAGGGAGAGGGAGGUGGGCCUGGGCGGGGUCCUCACCGAGCCCUUGGUGCAAUAGUCCACGUCCUCGCUGUUGAACAGGAUCAAGUCUUUGAUGAAGACAGCGGUGGCCCUCAGGAUGAAGGAUAUGAAGAGGUGCGUGUGGAUGUAGUUCCGCGUGCAGUGGAGCUUCCUGUGCAAGGCGGGCAGAGCUGGGAGGCUGAGGGGGCCUCGGACCCCCCACUCCAACCACGCUGUCCAGCACUCGGAGCAAGGGCAGGGCGGGGGAGCACAGGGCUUCCAAGGGCAGGCCGCGCCCCCGGGCACAACCCUGGCGCAGCCUGGCCUCCGAGUGCCUCAGCCUCCAGAGCCUGCCCUACCCUCUGGUGCCCCAUCUCCAGGUGCAGGGCCAUCCAUGGGGACUAGGCCGAGACAGGUGGAGCACUUUGGUGGUAGGGGGACAGGGCAGGGACUCCAUGCUGCCUGGGGGUGACAGGGAAGGGGCCAGAGCAUGACUGGGCCAGGCUGGGCUCGAGCACAGGAGCGACCCGGCUAGGUCUGCUCUGAGGCUUGUUGCUGCAGCUGGACCUCACCUGAACAGGCUCAAGAUGGCCGUAGCGACCAGAAGGGCAGCGAGGGACAGGCUGUGGCCGAUGGUGUAGAUGGUCUUCACAGAACUGUAGAACAUCGACUGCUGCUGCUAGAGGGAAGAGGGUGGCGGGGUUGGGGGUCUUAGGUGGGGGUGGGGUGGGCUCACCUAGGGGGUAUUGGCAGGGGUGGGUGCCUUACGCACCCUGCCUCCCAUCCCUGCCUUGGCAGAUGAAGAGACUCCAGGGUCCCAAGAGCAGCUGAGCCGCCCCCUCCGGUCCCCGGACCCCUGACACCCCUCCCCUGGGUUUCCACAGACGGGACAGGACUGCUUCCCAGGGCGGGGCGGGGGUUGACUUGAACCUCCUCUCUCUGCUCUUUCAUGAGGGAAAUGUCAGUGACGGAAAGAGCAAAGACCUCACGCGUUCCAUGUGCCCGUUUGUUCAUUCUGCAGUCAUGUGUUCAGCACCCCUUCCGUGCCAGCUUUGGGCACGGCCCCCCGGCGGCCCAACACUGUGCCCUUCAGACUCCACGUGAGGACCUCCCGCCAUGCAGCGAGAGAGCCACACAGGGAAUUAGAAUACUAAAGACGACACUGGGACAAUUUCCCUUCUGGGGCUCUCAGAGGCAGGGGUCAGCAGGAGGAGGGCAAUCUAGCCUUUCUGCAGGGGGACAGGACUAAUCUGGAAUCCAAAGGCUCCUGGCUGGCCCCUCCAGGAACCCUCCCUAGGGACACGUAUGCAGAUCCUUGGCCACUGGGUGAGUCCCUUGUUUCUCUCCACGUCCCACACCCUGCUGGAGAACAGGCAAGUGGUUAAGUGGGAUUUGGGGGAUUUAGAUCCUGCCUGGGGACCUGGUGGGCUUUGAAGGCCUCUGAAGAAGUUGCCCUUGUGGGAGGAGCAAAAGUUCUGAGAAGGGUGUCUGGGGGGUGGGACAAACGUCACAGCAGACGGACACACACACAUACCCACGACCCCACACCGAAGCAGUGAGGGGGCUCCUAGCCGAGGACUCCAGUUAUACUCUCGCUUCCCAUCAGUAUUCCCACGUGGCUCCGGGGCCCACAUCUGCACAGCAACCAUUCACGCUUCACCUGCUCCAGGGCAUAUGCCUGUCCUGGGACUGAGGACCACGGUCUUGUCCCUGUCCCUGUCCCUGACUGGCUGCUGAGGGUGUGCCCCUCAGUUUCCCCUCUGCAUGAGAUAGGAAGAUGAUAUCUGCCCUCCCUGCCCCUCUAGGGCUGGAGCAAGGCUUCCAUGAGUCAGCGGGGUGGCCCAGCCGGAGGGCCGAGUGCUGUUUCAGCUUUUGUCGCUGUGUGUCAUCCUCAUGAAAGUCCCCUUCCUGUUCCCUGUCAGGGACAGAGAGGGGGAUGAGCCCCUGGAAAUGCAGACCUGGCAAGGGAGGAGGCUUGGGGAAGGCAGACCCCACGAGUCCUGGCUUCGGCACAGACAGCAACCUCACUCCUUGCUGGGAGAGGGUGGAAGGAGCCUUGCAGGCCAAGGCACUGUGGGAGGGCAGGGGUGGACUGAGGCCCACCUCUUCCAAAUCUGAUGCCUUGUCAUUCAAGCCACAGGCAAUGGGGUAGGGGCCAGGUUCCAGGUGCGUCCAGCCCUCGUUGGUGCAGCUGCGGCUCACGUUGCGGCCUGGGUGGAGGGGAGAGGGGGAGAGGAGAGAGGUUGAGGCUGGGAGCAGCGUGAGUCCGUGGAGUAGGUAUGGGGCUGGGCUGUCUCUGAGCUCAGCCUUUCCCCGGCACCCCCAGUUGUAUCAGGCUCCAGCGGCCCUGACCCAGACUCCCAGGGAGCUGCCGGGGCACUUGGGGCAGGGAAAAGCUCUUCCAGGGCUUGGCAACACGAGUAACAGUCAGAGCAGACAUUCCUGGGCUCAGCUUUGCCCCUUGUCGUGUCUGAAACUGACCCCGGGUGAAGAUAAAUAAAGCGAUUUUUGUCACGGCCUGAAUUCUUGGUACAGAAUGACCCAUGACCCUUGUCACGAGCUAAAUGUUCACUCUUGUCACAGGGCCACAGGAGCCGGUGUGGCAGAUGGUUUCUUUGUCCUGUGGCUGGGCCGCGGGACUCCUCCUGGGUCAGCUCGCCUGGGCCGAUGGGCCUGAUUUCCUCCCACACCUGGUGUGGCUCAGAUGUGCUGCUGGAGAGGGACCAAAGGUGAGGCAGGAAGUGGGGGUGGAGGGCACCUGGUUAAGGGUGCAGGUCUGAAAUGCUCAUGAAUGGAGAAGCAGGGAGUCCUGGCAGGGAACCUGCCCGGGCAAAGGCAUGUGUGUGCAGGGAAUCGAGCAGCACAGCGCUACAGGAGCUUACGGCUGAACUUCACUGAGUUCUCCACUGUCCUUGGAGGCCCAAAGCUGUAGCGAAGGGACAGGGCUGAUGAGAGUGCCUGUGACCUGAGGGCUACCUUGAGGCUGCCCACUCUCUAGCCCUGGAGAGGAGUUGAAUAGAAAAUGGGUGAGCCAGGGGCGCCGGAAUGUCUCAGUCGGUUAAGCGUCCAACUGUUGAUUUUGGCUCAGGUCAUGAUUCCAGGGUUGUGAGUUUGAGCCCCGCAUCCGGCUCUGCGCUGACAGUGUGGAGUCUGUUUGGGUUUCUCUCCCUGUCCUGCUUGCUCUCUAGCUCUCUCUCAAAAUAAAUAAAUAAACUGAAAAAAGAAAAAAGAAGGAAAAUGGGUGAGCCAGAGAAGAUCCCCCUCCCUCUAUCCCAGGACUCAUUAAAGGGGCACUGGAGUCCGGGGUGAAAGCUGGCUUAUGGGGGAGGGGAAGGGGGAAAGAGGAGGAGAAGGAGGAGGAGGAAAGAGGGAGAGAGGAGGGUGGGGGUGGCAGGAGGAGAGAAGAGGCAGGAGCAGGAGGUGAAGGGAUGGAGGAAGAGGGAGGAGGAGGGAGAGCACAGUAGGGAAGGAGGUGAGGUGAAGCUGAGAAAGAAGAUGGGUCCUAACGUCCUUGCCCUAUAGCUCCUCCCUCACCAGCACCACAGCCACUGUCCCCAUCAUCACUGGUAUCGUCACUGUCACCAUCAUUAGUACCGCCACCAGCACCACCACGAUCGUCACCAUCACGGUCACCACCAUGGUCCCCAUCGCCACCACCAGCAGCAUCAGCAGCAGCAGCAGCAUCAGCUCCAUCACAAAGACAAGUUCGAGAACUCUUCAUUCAUCAGUACUGUACAGAGCAGUGUAGGCUCAGUGUCUCAGUCCCCUCCACCCUCCAGUGAGGAAGGGAAGCCCAGUUCACACUUGAGAAGUGAGGCUCCAAGUGGUUGGUCACUUGCCCAAGGCCACACGGAGAGAAGAGGGUAGAGCAGGUGUGACCCCCAGAGUCUUCUCAGCUGCCCCCUUGCCCCCGUCUGCACUGAAGGGACCUGGGGACUUGUGUCAGGUGUCCAGGUGCAGAGCUGUUGGAGACGUCGAGCUGUCCAGAGAGCUCGGUGGGGGGCGGGGGGGGGGGGGGGGGGGGUCCACCGUGCAUGUACAUCCACUAUUUCUAAACUUGGCUGUGUGCUUGGAAUAUACCAGGUGAUUCCCUGUCCGCUAUUUCUGUUAAUCCUCCUGGCUGCCAUUUGAAAGAGGUUCUUAGCACCCUACUUUAUGGCUGAGGAAUUGAGGGACAGCUGGGGGGCUGGGGACAGUCAGGGAGGACUAGCUGGGCCUGGGUCUCUUGCCACUGCGAGGUCCUGGAGGAAGCAGGAGGGACUUUGCUGAGGAAGAGGCACCGGUUCCUGAUUCGGCAGCCCUUUCCCACACAGGCCUCCCGAGCACACUGCUGCAGGAGGCUCCCAGCACGAGAGACAGGUCCUCCUGCUGGCCCUGCUCAGCUACUUAGCUUUCCCCCUUGUGGCCCAGGCAGGCUUCGGCCAGACCGUCAGUAAACCGCCGGCCUGCUUCCGCCCCAGAUCUAGGGAGCUCACCGUGGGCCCCUCCCAGGAUCCGAUUCUUGUGUGGACUUCCCCCACCAGCCUGGGGCAAGUAGAAAAAGGGGACAAGGUCAGAUCAGCCAGCCUUGAGGUUGGGACACUAAUGCCUCAAGUUUUGAGCUGCACUCUCACCAGAAGGACCAGGGCCCCAUGGGCCAGGCCCAUGACACAGCAGGCACCUGGUACCAUGAAUUAGGUGCCCCAUCUGUAUCUACACAGCAGCUUCUCAUGCCUCCUGUGGCGGGGGGGGAGGAGGCAACAAACAGUACUGUGUUAAAGCUAGUGAUUAGGAGCUAUUAUUAGUUCCACUCAAAGAGGGGGAUGCCAAGGCUGAGACAGGUGACCUGCCCAUGGUCACACAGCAAGGAAGCAGCAGGCUUGGGAUACAGACCUGGGUUAGCCUGACUGCAGCUUUCUGAACUUCCAGAGCGGCUGAAGGGCCACCCUGUCCCCUGGAACCCUGGCCGCCCUGGGUAUUGGGGGGGAAGGCAGGGGAUAGGGGGACAUCUUCAAGGUUGGGUGGCCUCUUUGAAGAGCCCUGGGACUGGGGCCCAGGUAUCAAAGGGAACUCUUCCUGAGGAGAUCUCAAAGGUGGCCACCAUGGGACCCCAAGACGCAGCCCAGUCCGGCCCUGGGAACCAGCAGAACUUGCGUGUGUAGAGGGUGAUAUGCAGGAAGGAGUCUCUUCCUGCUCACCAUGUCAUGAAAAGAAGUCACAGCCACCCCUCCACUCUUCCCUGGGCCCUCCAUGUGAAAAGCACGGCUCAGUGACUAGAGGUAGAAAUCGGGCAUUCGUUUCCUUCCCACCGCCCUCUUUCCACCCCCCGCCCCCCGCCACCUCACCUCAGCCACGAGUCCUGCCCCAGCCUCCCUUCCUCACCACCACCACCACCACCUUAUCUCCCCGGAAUUAGGUAGGAGCCUUCUGAUGGCUCUCCCUGCUUUCCUGUCCCCGCUAACCCACUCCCAACCCGAGAGAGUUGGAGAGAUUGUUCUAAAUCCUCUAUGUGACCGUGGUGCUCUCCUGCUAAAAUCCUGUCAGUGGUAUCCUGUCCCAGUCAACCGGGGCAAACGUCUUAGGUUGGCAUCACAACCCUCUUAUCUAUGGCUUCACAGUGCAGGUGGUGAGGUGGGGAGAGGAGGUGUCCCUUAGACCCCAGAGACACAGUUAGCAGCCUGUGUUGAAUUUUCUCAACCAAAUUAGCGAUCCUAGUUUUCACUCUUAAAAAAUGUCUUUUCAAAUAUUUAAAGGUAAAAACACCACAGACGAAAGACAUACAGACCACGAAUUAAAGGAUCAGGUCCCCACAAACGUUUUGGUCCCUGGAUGAGCAAUCCCUUGCCUGGCCGGCACUCCUCCCCCGGGAUGUUUACCCAGCCCGGGAGAUGACUUCUUUCUAACUCUACAGUCUUUAUUCUCUUCAGGUGUCCUCAGCCUUCCCUGUAGAACUAGGUCCCUUCCAACCCUUCCAGGGAGGACACUCCUUCCUCAGUCCUGUCACCCAAAGGGACUAGAGUUAGGGAUGGUAUUAUUCCUGCUUCACAUUUGCCUUUCUCUCGAAAUUCCCUCUUUGGAGUUUAAGGUCACUGGCUUACACCUUCUUCCCAGGAAAACACACCUCUUUCCCUUACAUUUUCAGCCUCUAACUUAGUCUCCUGUUUCUCUCCAUCAUUUUCAGAGGCUAAGGCACCAAGUACAGCUGUGCAGGUUGUUCACUGCACAGGGGCAUCUGGCUGAUAAAUGGUGGGGGCUGCAAUCUAUUUCAUAUUCAACUUGUCAUUAGGUGGCUUCUGGUGACAGGCUGACUCUGCCUGAGGAAGGGCUACCUUUUCCUCAUCUGCACCAAGGCACCAUGUGGGCCCCAUGGAGGCUGGCAGCCUCAGGGUUAGCCAGAUGGUGGGCUGCGGUCCAGAUUCUUAUGUGAAGUUGCUGCCUUGAUAACUCCAGCAGGGACAGAAGGAAAUGCCAUCGGGAGGAAUGCAAUUAGCAGAGAGUCAGGGAGGAACACAAGGAGCAGGCACUUCCAGGGAAUCUGAGAGAAGGCUGGUUGCAGGCUCUGCCGAUUGGACACCCGAGAGCUGCCGGAGGAGCUCCUCGCCUAGCCACCCAGGUGCCGGGUUCCGCUGGAGAGCUGGGCUAGGUGGGGGCUGGCCUGGAAUACGGCACAUCUGUGGCUGUUCCCAGACUCCCCAGGGAGGGCACUGACAUCUCUCGUUCACUGACUGCCGAGGUCACAACACGGAGCCCUGGGGGGAGAAACCAGCCUGCCCCAAAGAGUCCCUCUGGCCCACCUCCUGUCCCCAUUUUACAAACAGGGAAACAGGUCCAGAGAGGGAAAGGCCACCUGAAGUAAGAGAUGCCCAAGAGUCUUUCUGCUCAGUCUCUGAAUUCUUUAAAAGAAUUUUUUAAUGUUUAUUUAAGAGAGAGAGAGAGAGAGAGAGGAGACAGAGCACGAGGAGGGGAGGGGCAGAGAGAGAGGGGGAGAGAGAAUCCCAAGCAGGCUCCAGCUGUCAGCACAGAGCCCAACGUAGGGCUCGAUCUCACAAACUGUGAGAUCAUGACCUGAGCUGAAAUCAAGAGCUGGAGGCUUAACAAACUGAGCCGCCCAGGCGCCCCCUCUGAAUUCUACUCUGGGUCCUGCUCUUCAUUAAUGCUUCCCCCUCCAGACCUGCUCCUCCCUCGGGUCCUCCCCCUCUGGACUUGCUCCUCCAAAGGAUCCUCCCCACUCCAGACCUGCUCCUCCCUGGGAUCCUCCCCACUCUGGACUGGCUCCUCCCUGGGAUCCUCUCCACUCCGGACCUGCUCCUCCCUGGGAUCCUCCCCACUNNNNNNNNNNNNNNNNNNNNNNNNNNNNNNNNNNNNNNNNNNNNNNNNNNNNNNNNNNNNNNNNNNNNNNNNNNNNNNNNNNNNNNNNNNNNNNNNNNNNNNNNNNNNNNNNNNNNNNNNNNNNNNNNNNNNNNNNNNNNNNNNNNNNNNNNNNNNNNNNNNNNNNNNNNNNNNNNNNNNNNNNNNNNNNNNNNNNNNNNNNNNNNNNNNNNNNNNNNNNNNNNNNNNNNNNNNNNNNNNNNNNNNNNNNNNNNNNNNNNNNNNNNNNNNNNNNNNNNNNNNNNNNNNNNNNNNNNNNNNNNNNNNNNNNNNNNNNNNNNNNNNNNNNNNNNNNNACCUGCUCCUCCCUGGGAUCCUCCCCACUCCGGACCUGCUCCUCCCUGGGAUCCUCCCCACUCCAGACCUGCUCCUCCCUUAGUCUUCUUUUUUUUUUUUUUUCUCCCUUAGUCCUUGGUGAGUGUCUCAGCUCAUCAAACUUAAACCCCAGAGGGGCAUGCUGGAUCUCUCCCUCCCCGCCAUGAGCCUGGCACACCCUUCAUGGGCAAGUUUCCCACUUCUCUCCUCUGCCACCCACACUCUAAGUCCGAACGAUUACCACUUUUCAGCUGCCCUGUGAAUGGGUCUUCCCAUUGCACUACCAGAAUCCCUCCUUCUCAUGAAAAAUCUGAAUUACUGGUUGAAAACCUCAACCUAAAUUGGACUAUGUCAGUUACUGGCUUCAGGCCUUCAGUGGCUUCUCAGUGAACUUAGGAAAAAAUCCCAAGUCCUCAGUCAGUGCUCAGGGCCAGCACGGUCUGGCCUCUGCCACCUGUCUCUUUCCUCUCCUCCCUCCCCUGAGCUCUCUCUGCUCCAGCCGCCCUGGCCUCCACUGCAUUGCCUUAGUGCCCAUCCCGCAGGCUGCUGAUUCUGCCUCUCAAUGAUCCCCCAGCCCAGGAUCUUUCCGGCCUCCGGGUCCUCAGACAGAAGCUGCAGUGGCACCCCCUCGGCGAGCCCGUCCAUCCGUGAACACCUGCCUUAAUGUUGUGCCUUACCCCCUUCUCCCUCCUGGCACUUCUUACCAUUUAUGACACGUGUUUGUUCUCUUGCUAAAUGUCUCUUCAACUAGAACGUUAGGUCCCUGUGGGCAGAGAGCAUGGCUGUUUUCAUGCUGUGUUUGUCUAGCCCAUGCUUGUCAUGCUAGUAGAUGUUUAAUAAAUAUUCACUGAAGAAAGAAUGGCUGAAUAUAUGCAGGAAAGGUUCUUUGGUUAAUCAGUAACAAGAAAGCCCAGUUCCUAAAGAGGCCCCUCUUCUUUUCUGCCUUCUAUGGGAACAUUCAUUUAAAAAUAUGAUAAGGUGUGGGGCACCUGGGUGGCUCAUUCGGUUAAGUGUCAGACUCUUGAUUUCAGCUCAGGUCAUGGUCUCACAGUUGUGGGAUCGAGCUCUGUGUCAGGCCCUGUGCUGACAGCACAGAGCCUGCUUGGGAUUGUCUCUUCCUUUCUCUGCCCCUCCCCUGCUCACGUUCGCUGUCUCUCAAAAUAAAAACAAACAAAUAAACAAACAAACAAACAUGACAAGGUGUGUAAGCAAAGCCCAAAAGGUCAUCGGCUCCAGCCAGUGAAAGACUGAAUCAUGACCAGCCCAAGACAACGGGGAACAUGGGAGCCAUAAUUAGUCCUGUAUCUGUCAGUCAAUUGGUUAUCAACUGCUGAGCAAAUAUUUAGCGAGCCCUUCCCGCGUGUUUAUCUUUUACGUGAAGAGCUAAUCAAAUUCCACGAAUCCUUCAAAGACCUAGUUCUGGCACAUCCUCUUCCACAAAGCUCCUCCCGCACCCCCAAUUGCUCACCCCCUUGACCCCUUCCCGUUUGCCUUCUCACUUCCUUGACAGGUGAGUACCCCCUCCAGCUGGCACCACUUGUACUGCCCUGGCUCCCUUGCUUCCACCCAAGGCUCUUACCUUGAACUGGAGAGAAGAACUUAUAAAUGAGGGGGCAGUCCAAGACGACCACCUGGCCCGGAGGGGUGGCUGGCCAGCAGGUGAGGUUGUCCCACAUCUUGCUGCAGCCUGAGGGGUGAAGGCAGAGGACGCAGAGGUCAGCAUGGCCACCAAGUGCCUCCAGGCUUGGGGCCUGAGUCCACAGGCACCCACUCUUCUUCUCCCUCCAGGCUCCCACCUAGAGGAGCCUUCAGUCUGAGAGGGGUGGGUGGCAUCACCCUGCCCAGGCUGUAAAGGGCCUGUCCUGACAGGGAGUGGGGAGGAGGCAUCACUACAGCUCCACAGUCCUCAGUGAGGGCUGGAGUGCCCCCUGGGGGUGUUUUGAACAGUGGUGGGGUUUUGUUUGUUGCAGAGAUUGGAGGCCUCGCCUGGCAUUUGAUGGGUCUGUGCCAGGGAGAUAUUCUGUAAGCGGAGUAUUCUGCAAGACUUUCAGACGAGCCACUGGGCCUUUGUGCAGGUGAAACUCUUUUGUAAUGGCCGGAGUCUAGACUCUUCCUCCAUCUCACAUCUAAACACAAGGCACUUACCGCAGAGGCUUAACAUACACGGGGUUUUCCCGAAAUGCAACUGAGUAAAGGGAGAGAAGACUGUGCUUUCUCAAAUGCUGAACAUUAUUAAGAGUUGUUCAAGGUUUUGGAAAAUCACAUUACCGACAGCAAUGUUGCCCGUGAACCUGAGUCAGUGAAGCAACCGCUGUAUGUAUCAAUCUACACCUAUAGCUACUGCAUUCCCAGAGUUUAUAGGGACAACCUUCAAACUGUGUCUUCUUAUCUUUUAGUGUGAUUGUGCCUGAAUAUGUACAUAGUAUUUUAUUAUAAAUCACUUUCCUUUUUAUGUUCCUUUUACAACCAGAACUUCAUUUAAAAAAAAAAAAAAUGAAGGCACAUGUCCUGAAUUUCAUUGUAUAGGAAAGGAGACAUUAGAAAAUAUUUGUUAUAAAAGGAGGUGUUGGGUGUGAUGAGACGAUGGGUAUAUUGGGGGUUGGCUAGUUCCUGAGGAGUCUUCAUAGAACUCAAAAGCAACAUAGAUGCCCCUAACUCUGUCAAAUUGUGACUUGUGCUGUGGGGUGGUGGUGUCCAGGACGGGAGUUCAAAGAAAUCCCUGCACUGCAGGCCGUGUUUUCCACCAUGUACGUAUUAGCCUCGAGGGCUGGCUAGCGAAGGGUGCACAGUGGAGUCCCUAGGGGGCUGCUUGAAUUGGCAGAUGUGUGGUUUUGCCUGUUCAGGGUCUGGGUGCCCCUGAGGGACUGGAACUCCCCUGGAACCCCUUCCCUGAGGGAGGUUUAAUUGUUUCUUUGCAACCCUGCCAGUCCCAUAGAUUUCCUUGGGAAACCCAACCCCUGAGCCAAAGUCAAUGCCAGCUCAGCCAAGCCCAGCCCUGCCCAGGUCCGAAGGUUCCUAAGUUCUCAAGAAGGGGGCCUGGGGAGAGAGAGGAGGUGAAAGGAUGUCGCCACGUGGGAAAGAGCCUCGGGACUCUGAGUGCUGGGGUGGGUGGCCCCGGGGAGGGGUACCUUCCGGGGCUGCAGCAGCCAGGUAGCACCUAUGGCUGAAGGCUGAGAACACCUGGAUCCGUUCUCUGAUCCGUUCUCUGAGAACACCCAGAUCCACUCUGGCCCUGCCAGAGAACACAGCCUCCCUUCCUUGAGGGCCCCCAAGCCCUUUUGUCCACUCUGUCAUGAGGCUUCCGUGGCCUUCUUCUGAUUCCCGGUCCCUCCCCCGCUCCUGUGCCAGCCUCUCUGGAGGCCAUGUAGGGGCUCAUCAUGCCAGGUAAAUCCUGCUAGCGGUUCAAGACGCUAUUAAUAAUAUCAACAAAUACUUAUGUAGCCUUUGUAUGUGCGAGGCACUGUUCUACCCUCUUUAAAUACAUAACUUAUUUAUUUAACCCUCCCAUGUUACAGACGAGUAACUGAGGCAGGGAGCAACUCGGUAACUAAGCCCAAGGUCANUGGGGGGGCCUUUUUUUCCCCCUUUUUUUUUUUUUUUUUUUUUUUUUUUUUUUAAAUUUUUUUUCAACGUUUAUUUUAUUUUUGGGACAGAUAGAGACAGAGCAUGAACGGGGGAGGGGCAGAGAGAGAGGGAGACACAGAAUCGGAAACAGGCUCCAGGCUCUGAGCCAUCAGCCCAGAGCCCGACGCGGGGCUCGAACUCCCGGACCGCGAGAUCGUGACCUGGCUGAAGUCGGACGCUUAACCGACUGCGCCACCCAGGCGCCCCAAUGUUCUACCCUCUUUAAAUACAUAACUUAUUUAUUUAACCCUCCCAUGUUACAGACGAGUAACUGAGGCAGGGAGCAACUCGGUAACUAAGCCCAAGGUCACAUUGCUGGUGAAUGGCGCAGCCUGUUCGCAUGUUCAUACGCUCCCUCUCCAGCAAACCUCUUGCGCUCCUCUUCUCCUGAAGGGCUCGAUGCCCAUUUCUUGGGGAAUUUUGCUCUGCUGGACUCUGUUCAGCCCUCUCUGACAAUGCUGGGCACACCUUGUUUUAUAGGCCAGUUAUUGUGUCUGUGUCCUCACCAGACUUAGAGCUCUCUGGAUCUUGAGCUGCAGCAUAGUCAGAGAGCAGUUUCAGAGCUGGGUCUCUGGCCCUGAGCUCUGCUUCACCACAAGUGGCACAGGGAGAGGGAGACUGGGUGUUGCCCUUGGGUGGGGGGCUGCACUUGGCCUCAAGGAGUCUCAACACCACCAGGACUGGGCUGUGAACUGUCCUGGGGUGCAGGCCAGUGGACAUGGCAGGGAACCCUGGGAAGAAAGUCCAUUAGAGGCAUGUGGUCAGGGAAGCUUCCUGGAGGAGGCAGCAGGGUCAGGAAGCUGAGAAGGGAGUAACAGCCAAGCAAAUGCUAGAGCACUGGGUGGCUCAGUCGGUUAAGCACCCAACUCUUGACAUCGGCUCAGGUCACAACCUCACUGUUUGUGAGUUUGGGCCCCAGUCGGGCUCUGCACUGACAGUGUGGAUUCUCUCUCUCUCCCUCUUUGUCUGCCCCUCUCCCACUCAUGCUCACUUGCUCUCUCUCUCUCUAAUUAAAUAAAUAAACUUAAACAAAUUGUUUUAAAUCGGAAAAAAAAAAAAUGCUGGCUAUCUGGAGAGCCUGUUGUCCUGGGUUGGGCCUCAGGAGUAUUCUCUGUGUGCCUGCCCCAGAGAGGCCCCACAGGCCCCACCACACAUGUCCCCAGGUCCACAGAGAAACAGGGCUCUUGUUGGCUGUGUGUGUCACCCCCACAAGAAAGGGACUGCCACCUCAACAAGAAAGACAGCCUGGAGACUGGGGCGGGGGUGGCGAGGCAGGGUGGGGGCUUCCACUGUGCCAUUUUAUAGAUAUGUGUGCACCGACAGACACACACAGACAAGCACUCCCAGUCACAGAGAACCACAGUCAUGCAUGCAAAUAUACACACAUGCAUGCUUACUUGCACAUGGAAGGACAGACCCCAGCAAACAAAGGCACAGAGAGACACGCACAAGUCACAAACACACAUGCAUAGACAUGACUGGGCACACCGCAGAUAUUCACACUCACACAUCCACGAUCACACACAGACAACACACAAAGGCCACUCAGAGUCAGACAUCGAACUUACAGACCCCAGACACAGAGACCGCUCCAGACGGCCGUGGGCCAGGAGCACGCAUCUGGAUGUGCGCGAGCACGCAUCUGGAUGUGCGCGAACACGCACAGAGCCCCACCCACACAAGGUCAUGGGCAGACUCACUUGCCCUCCUCUGGAUCCCAGGCUGUCUUCCUGGUGACAGGAUGCUGGCAGCGGACAGGCACCCUGUGCCAGCAAUUACCUCACCUGGAUCACGAGGGUGGCUUACCCUUGGGGCCUAGGAGGCAGUGCAAUGGGGCCUAGAUCCGGGGUCAGGGCCUCUCUGGGCUACGUGCACCCCCAGAUCCUACUGUUGGGGUUUGCUGAGGACGGUCCGCGGUGUCUCCUGCCUCUCCCACCUGGAGGGUGGGGAGGGGUGCAUAGGCAGUGGAUGGUCAGGCCACCCCUCACCCAGGUCUCAGUCUUAAGGCCUCAGGAGACAGGAGUCUGUCCUUCCUCAAGAGCUGGGGAGGCAAAGUCCACCCAUGAGGCUACACGCACUCACUCACGGUGUAGGAAGCAGAGAUUCUGGGCACCAGGGCCAAGAAGGAGGGAUCCAGGAAGGGUUGCAUAACUGUCAGUCUCAGAGAGGUGACAGGAGACGGGGGAGCCUGGGAGAUAUAAAGAUGUUCCCUGCUCCUGAGCAAGGCUGUUACAUAACUGCAAGUUUGGCCUCAGGGGGGUGACCUGGCAGGGAGGCCCGGAGCAGGCACAUCCACCCAGCGGCUCCAGCCCUUCUCUGCCCUCAGUGAGCCUCGAGCCAUACCCACCCCCAGUCCCCAGGGGAAGUCUGCCUAGGCGCCUCCCACCUGCGCAGCCUCUCGGCUUCUCCACAUCCUGCCCACCCUUCAGAAUCUGGCCCGAGGGCACCUUGCAAAGGAAGGCCUCUGGAAUCCUUCCCAUUCCUUCCCCAGGCUGUUGUGCCAAGUGUGGGGCGCCCGGGCUAGGGAGGUGUCAUCUGAUGUGAUGGCCUUGCUGGCUCUGGGCAGCUGGGCAGCGUCGGCCUGAGGGUGCCUCUGGCACCGCCCUUCACGCCCUCGCACUACCAGGCUGGAGCUCUCCCACACCCCCUGAGCGGGGGGAGCCGGGCCCGCAUGUGCUCAGCCUCUGAGUCUGACUGAGACUUGUCUCAUCAGCGGCACAAUGAGCGGGUGGUUCAUCUGGCCUGCUGAAGGUGGGUUGGGAUGGGGAGGGACGCGUGUGUGCCUGGGGGCCUGUGUGUGUGCGGUGGCACCUCUGGGUGCAGAGCUUGGGGUUGGGAGGAAGAAGCUGGGCCUCAGAACCCCCCACGUAGUGUGUUCUCCUGGGCUAACAGCAGGACGCUUCCAGACCAGGGGCAGAUGAUGGCACCGGAGAGGCCUGUUAGGACUUCUCGCUUCCUGGCCCCCCAGCUUCUCCCGGCGUCCUCUCCUCACCCCCAGCAGCUCCGUGGUGCCAUUCCCGUCUGAUGCGUGUGGGAGGCAUGUACCCUGGAUCUGGGCUCACGGGGUGAGGACAAGCAGGGCUCCCUGGAGGUCCGCGGCCCUCUCUUCCUGCUGGGCCUCACCUGCCGUGUCAUUCUCCAGCUGGGCCUCCUCCAGGCACUGCUUGUGCUGUACCUCGAUCAGCUGCAGAUAGUAACAUUCCUCCUGCUGCAGGAUGGUUGCCCGGGUGCCCUGGGGAACAGAGACAGGGGGAGGGGGGACCCGUCAGCCUCAUCCACGGCCUACCUCUCAUCCACAGACUCCAGGGGCGUGAGACCCAACAAGGCCUGUCACUUGACCGACCCAGCUUCCAGAUGGAACCCCAAUCCCAACCCCAGACUAAAACCCAACCCUGACCUGGACUGGACCCAGAACUCUUGACCACAGUCCCCAAAGCUGGGUCUGCCUUGAGGGCCCUGUCAUGGCUUCCUGAUGGCUCCAAUAGUGCUGCAGCUGUAACAACUUAGUCUUUUUGUGGGUGGCACCCCUCUGGCACCUCUCUGUAGAGCUCAGAGCCGGCCCUCUGGACUCUGCUCCCCUCCAGCCUGGGUGGGGAGUCCUCAGUGCUUGCCUCAGAUUCUGCGGAUGACUGGGGCUCAGCUAGCGCUACCUGGUUAGGAGGAGUUGGUCCCUGGAGCCAGGCCUGGGAGGAAUCCAGGAGUCUGGCUGCAUCUUCCAGCCUCUGUCCUCGUUCCAGGAGCCUGUGCUAGGUCUCCUGGGUCACCAGGCUGGGAAGGGGACACUGGCCCUCUUUACCCACACAUCACCUGCCUUCUUCUUAGCUUCUAAACAAUUUAAGCUAUAUCAGAUCUAAUGAAGGAAGGGAGGUUUCAGGAAAUAAGGGAGGACCCUCUAGGUUGUCUUGCCAUCCCACCAAACCUCCUCUGUCCCUACUCCUGCCUCUGGGAGGUGGGGAGAAGUGAUGGGAAAGCCCAUGCCUCUCCCCUCCCCUUUCCUGCACCCUACGAGGGGAUCAGGGAUGGAACCAGACCUGUGUGAAGGUAUGGGGGGUGGGCAGGCAUUGGCAUUGGGGCCAACAGGUGAGCAGGGGUGAUGGCUGCCCAGGAACAGAUAGAAAAGAAACAAAACGGGUCUUGGGAACCACUGGGUGGGCAAGGGCAGGUGAAGGCCUCCAUGGAGGAACCACUGAGCUGGUAGAAGCUUCCGCUGGUCUCUUUGGCUUUAGGGAAGUGGCUGCAACCCCACAUUGGUUUCCUCACCUUUGCCCAGGGAAGAGAAUGCCAUAGUCCCCAACAGUCUUGUUCAGCAAGGCAGCUCCAGAAUCAGAGACUCUCAGUGUCUCUUCCAACUUGUUCCUUCUGGCCUGGGACAAGGUCCUUACCUCCCUCAGUUUCCUUGUAGGCCAAACGGGCCUCUACCAACUCCCCUGCUGACUCAAAGCCUUGUUGCAGUGGGGCUAUGGGGGAAAGCAUUUCUUUCCUUAAGUGUAUCCCCAUCUGGCCUGGUACCAAGGGUGUGACUUUGACCAUUGUUCUAAGUAAGGUGAUCCCCCAGAGGGAUAAGCAUUCCAGGUGCCAGGGAGCUCUCCAUUGCUAUAGAGGAAGGGGGUCCAAGCUGAAGCUGGACAACUCAGUGCCCAAGAAGCUGUGCAGCUGAGUCCCUUCCACUUAAUACUCUCUCAUCCCUUGUGGAGGCCUUGGUGGAGCCUCACUGUCACAGAGGUCCUCACCGUCCAACCUUCCCAUAUGCAGCUAAGCACCACUGCUGGCCUAGCCCAAGGGAGGAUGUCCUUGUCC